rnacentral:lncRNA from 1 species
CUUCCUCUUCUUCUCCUUCUUGGGGAAGAUUGUCCUUUAAAAUAAUCUCAAUUAGAUCUACCUCAUCAUGUUGGCCAUCUUCACGAAAGCAUUUUGGUAAUUGAGGCUCUUUUUUUUCUUUGAGUGCGUAAUGAAUGGCUCGAGACAUAAUUUUGUAUACAGCCCACCAAUCUUUUCUUCUUUUUUUCUUAAUGGAAGAGUAAAAUAUACUUGAGUAGCUUGUGCAGCUAGUACAAAUAGCUCGUUGAUA